rnacentral:lncRNA from 1 species
UGCAGCAUCAGGCAGUGGCAGCAAAGACAAAACUCUGCAUGAUGCAUGUGAUUGACUGGUUAUGGAGAAGCAAAGAAUUAUUUUAGUUUGCUGAUUCACUUCGCAAUAAGCUCAAAUUCUUCUAUGAACUUGAAAAUGUCGCUAUCAGUUUUUAUUCUCUGAAAAGAAGAGCAAAAAUCUGAAGUCAAAGUUAUCUUCAGAAGUAGACAAACUGAAGGAUGAUCUGUAUGAACUAUGAUAAAUCUGCUUUCAUUGAGCAGAAGACAGGAAGAAUGAGAUGAAUUAAAUUUCAGGAAAACGGCAGUAGGAAGCAAAUUCUUUUGCUCUGAUACCAUGUUAGAAUUUAUUAAAUGAAGAAACUUCAAUUGAACUCCAUAAAGGAGAAGAACAAACUCCAUAAUAGGAGAAGAAAAGGCACUCCAUGAAAGGAGGAAAUACACUCCAUGAAGAAGGAGAAAAACCUCCAUAAAAGUAGGGAUUGGAAGACUAUACUCCAAUGAAUUACAAUGAACAGCCGGUUGUGUAUUUAUAGAGAAAAUGUCUAACUAAACUAACUAUCAACUACUAACUACUAUGACAGGUGGAA